AAACCAACAGGGAUUGCCUUAGUAGCGGCGAGUGAAGCGGCAAAAGCUCAAAUUUGAAAUCUGGCGCCUUCGGUGUCCGAGUUGUAAUUUGAAGAUUGUAACCUUGGGGUUGGCUCUUGUCUAUGUUUCUUGGAACAGGACGUCACAGAGGGUGAGAAUCCCGUGCGAUGAGAUGCCCAAUUCUAUGUAAGGUGCUUUCGAAGAGUCGAGUUGUUUGGGAAUGCAGCUCUAAGUGGGUGGUAAAUUCCAUCUAAAGCUAAAUAUUGGCGAGAGACCGAUAGCGAACAAGUACAGUGAUGGAAAGAUGAAAAGAACUUUGAAAAGAGAGUGAAAAAGUACGUGAAAUUGUUGAAAGGGAAGGGUUUGAGAUCAGACUCGAUAUUUUGUGAGCCUUGCCUUCGUGGCGGGGUGACCCGCAGCUUAUCGGGCCAGCAUCGGUUUGGGCGGUAGGAUAAUGGCGUAGGAAUGUGACUUUACUUCGGUGAAGUGUUAUAGCCUGCGUUGAUGCUGCCUGCCUAGACCGAGGACUGCGAUUUUAUCAAGGAUGCUGGCAUAAUGAUCCCAAACCGCCCGU
rnacentral:rRNA from 1 species